UACAGAGGGUGCGAACGUUGCUCGGAAUUACUGGGCGUAAAGCGCGUGUAGGCGGGUUCGCAAGUCAGACGUGAAAUCCCCGGGCUCAACUCGGGAACUGCGUCUGAAACUGCGAGCCUUGAGUACCGGAGAGGGUGGCGGAAUUCCUGGUGUAGAGGUGAAAUUCGUAGAUAUCAGGAAGAACACCCGUGGCGAAGGCGGUUCUCUGGGACGGUACUGACGCUGAGACGCGAAAGCGUGGGGAGCGAACAGG
rnacentral:rRNA from 1 species